CUGACGGAGCAACGCCGCGUGAGGGACGAAGGCCUCUGGGCUGUAAACCUCUUUUCUCAAGGAAGAAGAUAUGACGGUACUUGAGGAAUAAGCCACGGCUAAUUCCGUGCCAGCAGCCGCGGUAAUACGGGAGUGGCAAGCGUUAUCCGGAAUUAUUGGGCGUAAAGCGUCCGCAGGCGGCCUUUCAAGUCUGCUGUUAAAGCGUGGAGCUUAACUCCAUCAUGGCAGUGGAAACUGAUGGGCUUGAGUAUGGUAGGGGCAGAGGGAAUUCCCGGUGUAGCGGUGAAAUGCGUAGAUAUCGGGAAGAACACCAGUGGCGAAGGCGCUCUGCUGGGCCAUUACUGACGCUCAUGGACGAAAGCCAGGGGAGCGAAAGGGAUUAGAUACCCCUGUAGUCCUGGCCGUAAACGAUGAACACUAGGUGUCGGGGGAAUCGACCCCUUCGGUGUCGUAGCUAACGCGUUAAGUGUUCCGCCUGGGGAGUACGCACGCAAGUGUG
rnacentral:rRNA from 1 species